CUACAGGACAAGUGUGUGGAGUUUAAGCAAAAAGCUCACACACAUGCACAGGCACUGACCAGAAAGAUGCCACUGAAACCUCGAGAACAUUGCUGGUUUGAAUCUCAUACCAUCAGAUGCCAAGAUCUCGCUGCUUUUGAAUAACCUGGAUGUUCUCAGCAUCGUUUCAUCUGAAAAAUAAGGAAAAAUCUAAUUGAAGAAGAAGUAAACCUGAGAGAAUUGUGGAACAGAGGUAUGAAGGAGGGGCUUGCUAAAGGAAGCCAGGACAGUCUCGCCAUGCAAUUUAAUCACUGUAUACCCAGGAGGAAGCUGCGGUCCUGUGUUUACUGGCACGUUAGAUCCAAGCGUCAGGUGCUCCUGCCAUGA
rnacentral:lncRNA from 1 species